AUUGAACGCUGGCGGCAUGCUUUACACAUGCAAGUCGAACGGCAGCACGGGGGCUUGCUCCUGGUGGCGAGUGGCGAACGGGUGAGUAAUGCAUCGGAACGUACCCAGUAGUGGGGGAUAGCCCGGCGAAAGCCGGAUUAAUACCGCAUAUUUCCUGAGGGAGAAAGCGGGGGACCUUCGGGCCUCGCGCUACUGGAGCGGCUGAUGUCGGAUUAGCUAGUUGGUGAGGUAAAGGCUCACCAAGGCGACGAUCCGUAGCUGGUCUGAGAGGAUGAUCAGCCACACUGGGACUGAGACACGGCCCAGACUCCUACGGGAGGCAGCAGUGGGGAAUUUUGGACAAUGGGGGCGAACCCUGAUCCAGCCAUGCCGCGUGAGUGAAGAA
rnacentral:rRNA from 1 species